rnacentral:misc_RNA from 1 species
GGUAUCUCUCUUCAGGCCAUUCCUUUUUCAGUAAAGACAAUGAAGGGAAAGAGUAAGUGAUAAGGAAUAGAAAAAUUACUUGUUAUAUUCAGAAAAUCAAGGGCAACAUAGAAAGCAGGUAAUUAGUAUGCAACUCUUUAUAUUAGCAAUUAAAACCAACCUUAAACCAGUUCCAACUUGCCUAAAUAACUUAUUGUCAUAUGCCACAUCUAUGGGACAUCAGACUGUUAAAAGGUUUAUAUACCCAUGCCAACUACUAGAAAUAAAUUGGAUUAAUCAUUUUGAGCAAAGUGGUUUGGACUGAUUGUUUACGACGUGUAUCUGUGUAUGAUGUCUGCAUUUGUGGAAUCAGCAAACAAUUGCCAAGUGCAUUUUGGCCAUUUGUAGAAGUCUCGCUCGUUGAAUUCUCUCAUGAAUAACCUAUUAAGUAUGUCUUUUAUUUGUGACAUCCAUUGAAAGACAUCAAAGAUAUGUGAGCCUUCAAGCCUAAAGUGUUUUUCC